rnacentral:rRNA from 1 species
CCUACGGGUGGCAGCAGUGGGGAAUAUUGGACAAUGGGCGAAAGCCUGAUCCAGCCAUGCCGCGUGUGUGAAGAAGGCCUUCGGGUUGUAAAGCACUUUCAGUGGGGAAGAAAGCCUUGGGGCUAAUACCUUCGAGGAAGGACAUCACCCACAGAAGAAGCACCGGCUAACUCCGUGCCAGCAGCCGCGGUAAUACGGAGGGUGCGAGCGUUAAUCGGAAUUACUGGGCGUAAAGCGCGCGUAGGCGGUCUGAUAAGCCGGUUGUGAAAGCCCCGGGCUCAACCUGGGAACGGCAUCCGGAACUGUCAGGCUAGAGUGCAGGAGAGGAAGGUAGAAUUCCCGGUGUAGCGGUGAAAUGCGUAGAGAUCGGGAGGAAUACCAGUGGCGAAGGCGGCCUUCUGGACUGACACUGACGCUGAGGUGCGAAAGCGUGGGUAGCAAACAGGAUUAGAUACCCCGGUAGUC